AAUUUAGGACAAUGGGGGAAAACCUGAUCCAGCCAUCACGCGUGUAUGAUGAAGGCCUGCGGGUUGUAAAGUACUUUGUGCAGCGUAGAAAAGGCAUCCCCUAAUACGGGAUGCUUCUGAUGGUAUUUGCAGACUAAUCACCGGCUAACUACGUGCCAGCAGCCGCCGUAAUACGUAGGGUGCAAGCGUUAAUCGGAAUUACUGGGAGUAAAGCGUGUGUAGGCGGUUCGGAAAGAAAGAUGUGAAAUCCCAGAGCUCAACCUUGGAACUACAUUUUUAACUGCCGAGCUAGAGUACGUCAGAGGGGGGUAGAAUUCCACGUGUAGCAGUGAAAUGCGUAGAUAUGUGGAGGAAUACAGAUGGCGAAGGCAGCCCCUUGGGAUAAUACUGACGCUCAGACACGAAAGCGUGGGGAGCAAACAGG
rnacentral:rRNA from 1 species